GAUGAACGCUAGCUACAGGCUUAACACAUGCAAGUCGAGGGGCAGCAUUUCAGUUUGCUUGCAAACUGGAGAUGGCGACCGGCGCACGGGUGAGUAACACGUAUCCAACCUGCCGAUAACUCGGGGAUAGCCUUUCGAAAGAAAGAUUAAUACCCGAUGGCAUAAUUAGACCGCAUGGUCUUAUUAUUAAAGAAUUUCGGUUAUCGAUGGGGAUGCGUUCCAUUAGGCAGUUGGUGAGGUAACGGCUCACCAAACCUUCGAUGGAUAGGGGUUCUGAGAGGAAGGUCCCCCACAUUGGAACUGAGACACGGUCCAAACUCCUACGGGAGGCAGCAGUGAGGAAUAUUGGUCAAUGGGCGCAGGCCUGAACCAGCCAAGUAGCGUGAAGGAUGACUGCCCUAUGGGUUGUAAACUUCUUUUAUAUGGGAAUAAAGUUUUCCACGUGUGGAAUUUUGUAUGUACCAUAUGAAUAAGGAUCGGCUAACUCCGUGCCAGCAGCCGCGGUAAUACGGAGGAUCCGAGCGUUAUCCGGAUUUAUUGGGUUUAAAGGGAGCGUAGGUGGACAGUUAAGUCAGUUGUGAAAGUUUGCGGCUCAACCGUAAAAUUGCAGUUGAUACUGACUGUCUUGAGUACAGUAGAGGUGGGCGGAAUUCGUGGUGUAGCGGUGAAAUGCUUAGAUAUCACGAAGAACUCCGAUUGCGAAGGCAGCUCACUGGACUGCAACUGACACUGAUGCUCGAAAGUGUGGGUAUCAAACAGGAUUAGAUACCCUGGUAGUCCACACAGUAAACGAUGAAUACUCGCUGUUUGCGAUAUACAGUAAGCGGCCAAGCGAAAGCAUUAAGUAUUCCACCUGGGGAGUACGCCGGCAACGGUGAAACUCAAAGGAAUUGACGGGGGCCCGCACAAGCGGAGGAACAUGUGGUUUAAUUCGAUGAUACGCGAGGAACCUUACCCGGGCUUAAAUUGCAUUUGAAUAUAUUGGAAACAGUAUAGCCGUAAGGCAAAUGUGAAGGUGCUGCAUGGUUGUCGUCAGCUCGUGCCGUGAGGUGUCGGCUUAAGUGCCAUAACGAGCGCAACCCUUAUCUUUAGUUACUAACAGGUCAUGCUGAGGACUCUAGAGAGACUGCCGUCGUAAGAUGUGAGGAAGGUGGGGAUGACGUCAAAUCAGCACGGCCCUUACGUCCGGGGCUACACACGUGUUACAAUGGGGGGUACAGAAGGCAGCUACCUGGUGACAGGAUGCUAAUCCCAAAAGCCUCUCUCAGUUCGGAUCGAAGUCUGCAACCCGACUUCGUGAAGCUGGAUUCGCUAGUAAUCGCGCAUCAGCCAUGGCGCGGUGAAUACGUUCCCGGGCCU
rnacentral:rRNA from 1 species